rnacentral:rRNA from 1 species
UGGGGAAUAUUGCACAAUGGGCGCAAGCCUGAUGCAGCCAUGCCGCGUGUAUGAAGAAGGCCUUCGGGUUGUAAAGUACUUUCAGUCGGGAGGAAGGUGUCAAGGUUAAUAACCUUGGCAAUUGACGUUACCGACAGAAGAAGCACCGGCUAACUCCGUGCCAGCAGCCGCGGUAAUACGGAGGGUGCAAGCGUUAAUCGGAAUUACUGGGCGUAAAGCGCACGCAGGCGGUCUGUCAAGUCGGAUGUGAAAUCCCCGGGCUUAACCUGGGAACUGCAUUCGAAACUGGCAGGCUAGAGUCUUGUAGAGGGGGGUAGAAUUCCAGGAGUAGCGGUGAAAUGCGUAGAGAUCUGGAGGAAUACCGGUGGCGAAGGCGGCCCCCUGGACAAAGACUGACGCUCAGGUGCGAAAGCGUGGGGAGCAAACAGG